rnacentral:rRNA from 1 species
UACGGGGGGGGCAAGCGUUGUUCGGAAUUACUGUGCGUAAAGGGCGCGUAGGCGGUUCGCUAAGUUGAAUGCGAAAACUCUGGGCUUAACCCAGAGCCUGCAUUCAAUACUGGCGGGCUAGAGUUCUGGAGGGGAUAGCGGAAUUCCUGGUGUAGCGGUGAAAUGCGUAGAUAUCAGGAGGAACACCGGUGGCGAAGGCGGCUAUCUGGACAGAGUCUGACGCUGAGGCGCGAAAGCUAGGGGAGCAAACAGG